GAUGAAGAACGCAGCGAAAUGCGAUACGUAAUGUGAAUUGCAAAUUCAGUGAAUCAUCGAGUCUUUGAACGCACAUUGCGCCCCCUGGUAUUCCGGGGGGCAUGCCUGUCCGAGCGUCAUUGCUGCCCUCAAGCACGGCUUGUGUGUUGGGCCCCGUCCUCCGAUCCCGGGGGACGGGCCCGACAGGCAGCGGCGGCACCGCGUCCGGUCCUCGAGCGUAUGGGGCUUUGUCACCCGCUCUGUAGGCCCGGCCGGCGCUUGCCGAUCAACCCAAAUUUUUAUCCAGGUUGACCUCGGAUCAGGUAGGGAUACCCGCUGAACUUAAGCAUAUCAAUAAGCGGAGGA
rnacentral:misc_RNA from 1 species